rnacentral:rRNA from 1 species
UAGGGAAGUCUUCCACAGUGGGCGAAAGCCUGAUGGAGCAACGCCGCGUGUGUGAUGAAGGGUUUCGGCUCGUAAAACACUGUUGUAAGAGAAGAAUGACAUUGAGAGUAACUGUUCAAUGUGUGACGGUAUCUUACCAGAAAGGAACGGCUAAAUACGUGCCAG